GCAAGGAAUAGUAGGCAAUGGGGGAAACCCUGACCUCGCGACGCCGCGUGAGGGAUGAAGGCUUUCGGGUUGUAAACCUCUUUUCUCAGGGAUGAAUAAUGACAGUACCUGAGGAAUAAGUCACGGCUAACUACGUGCCAGCAGCCGCGGUAAAACGUAGGUGGCGAACGUUAUCCGGAUUCACUGGGCGUAAAGAGUGCGUAGGCGGCCUUAUAAGUCGGAUGUAAAAUUUCUCGGCUCAACCGGGAGGGACCAUCCGAUACUGUCUGGCUAGAGUGCAUCAGAGGAGAGUGGAAUUCCCGGUGUAGUGGUGGAAUGCGUAGAUAUCGGGAGGAACACCAGUGGCGAAAGCGGCUCUCUGGGAUGUUACUGACGCUGUUGCACGAAAGCGUGGGGAGCAAACAGGAUUAGAAACCCCUGUAGUCC
rnacentral:rRNA from 1 species